UACAGAGGUCUCAAGCGUUGUUCGGAUUCAUUGGGCGUAAAGGGUGCGUAGGCGGCGCGGUAAGUCGGGUGUGAAAUCUCGGAGCUUAACUCCGAAACUGCAUUCGAUACUGCCGUGCUCGAGGACUGGAGAGGAGACUGGAAUUCAUGGUGUAGCAGUGAAAUGCGUAGAUAUCAAGUGGAACACCAGUGGCGAAGGCGAGUCUCUGGACAUUUCCUGACGCUGAGGCACGAAAGCCAGGGGAGCAAACGGG
rnacentral:rRNA from 1 species